UACGGAGGGUGCAAGCGUUAAUCGGAAUUACUGGGCGUAAAGCGCACGCAGGCGGUUGGAUAAGUUAGAUGUGAAAGCCCCGGGCUCAACCUGGGAAUUGCAUUUAAAACUGUCCAGCUAGAGUCUUGUAGAGGGGGGUAGAAUUGCCAGGUGUAGCGGUGAAAUGCGUAGAGAUCUGGAGGAAUACCGGUGGCGAAGGCGGCCCCCUGGACAAAGACUGACGCUCAGGUGCGAAAGCGUGGGAGCAAACAGGGAUAGAAACCCUGGUA
rnacentral:rRNA from 1 species